rnacentral:lncRNA from 1 species
AAUGAAAUAAAAAAUGGGGUCACCGUUCAUUUAAGCUCACAAUCUGCCUCCGGAAGAAGCAUACAUUUUUGUUAAUGUCCUUUUUUCAGUUGAACUAAUAGGAGAAAUAGAGGUAAUAUCAAAAUAAAAAAAAUAACCUAAUUACAGAAAUCGCUUAAAUUUUACAAUUAUUUAGUUUAUGUACAGCUUAUAUGAAAACAAUAAUAAAAAAUAUAGGUCACCG